UACGUAGGAGGCGAGCGUUGUCCGGAGUUACUGGGCGUAAAGGGCGCGCAGGCGGCUCAGACAGUCAGAUGUGAAAGCCCCGGGCUUAACCUGGGAACUGCAUUUGAUACUACUGAGCUUGAGUACGGGAGAGGAUAGUGGAAUUCCCAGUGUAGAGGUGAAAUUCGUAGAUAUUGGGAAGAACACCGGUGGCGAAGGCGGCUAUCUGGACCGUAACUGACGCUGAGGCGCGAAAGCGUGGGGAGCAAACAGG
rnacentral:rRNA from 1 species